GCUUCCUUAUUCGAUAAUGCAUUGCUGCAAUGAUGAUCAAUCCAAUCGAAGAAGCCCAAACAAUCUGCGCAAAGCUCGGUUUGCUGCCGCUAUCUGUAAGAAAAUCCGACACAAGCCACAAAUCAAACCGAAUCAAUUCAAAACCUGGCGAAAACGAAAGAGAAGGUGGAGUUGACAAUAAUGAAAUGAUGGAUUGAAUGUUGCUACAAAUAGAGAUUGAAUUCAUAGCCUUUAUCAUAGUCAUUUAUGAGACCCUCCACAAAAAUUGCUCCAAAAAGCUAAUAUCUCAUACGCAGCAGCUGCGCCUUUGUUUUUAUGAUGAGUAAACUGAUAUUAUUAGCAACCAUGACCAUAUUUGUACAUUUUAUACAUCUCUAUCAAUACAAGCAUCACAACUUGUUUGUGAAAUAGUUGGCUUUCUCGAUCUAAGUCACUUUUUUC